rfam:Stegodyphus mimosarum contig42204, whole genome shotgun sequence.
GCCUUCGUGGUGUAGUGGUCAGCACGCUCGACGCGCAAACGAGAGGUCCGUGGUUCGAUUCCCGGCGAUGGCG